UACGUAGGUGGCAAGCAUUGUCCGGAUUUACUGGGCGUAAAGAGCGCGCAGGCGGUCGUUCAAGUCGCGUGUGAAAGCCCCCGGCUCAACUGGGGAGGGUCACGCGAUACUGAUCGACUCGAAGGCAGGAGAGGGUAGUGGAAUUCCCGGUGUAGUGGUGAAAUGCGUAGAUAUCGGGAGGAACACCAGUGGCGAAGGCGACUACCUGGCCUGUUCUUGACGCUGAGGCGCGAAAGCUAGGGGAGCAAACGGG
rnacentral:rRNA from 1 species